rnacentral:rRNA from 1 species
GACGAACGCUGGCGGCGUGCUUAACACAUGCAAGUCGUACGGUAAGGCCCUUUUUGCGGUAUACGCGAGUCGCACAGGUGUGUAUAACGCGUGUAUCCUGUCCCCGACACUGCGAUAAAACCCGGGGACAGUUGCUCAUAUUCGGUAUGUGCUCCUGCUGCAUGGUGAUGGUUGGAAAGUUUUGUCGGUUGUGGAUGGACUCGCGGCCUAUCAGCUUGUUGGUGGGGUAGUGGCCUACCAAGGCGGCGACGGGUAGCCGGCCUGAGAGGGUGAACGGCCACAUUGGGACUGAGAUACGGCCCAGACUCCUACGGGAGGCAGCAGUGGGGAAUAUUGCACAAUGGGCGCAAGCCUGAUGCAGCGACGCCGCGUGCGGGAUGACGGCCUUCGGGUUGUAAACCGCUUUCAGCAGGGACGAAGCUUUUUGUGACGGUACCUACAGAAGAAGCACCGGCUAACUACGUG